rnacentral:rRNA from 1 species
UACGUAGGGUGCAAGCGUUGUCCGGAAUUAUUGGGCGUAAAGAGCUCGUAGGCGGUCUGUCGCGUCGGCUGUGAAAACCCGAGGCUCAACCUCGGGCCUGCAGUCGAUACGGGCAAACUGGAGUGUUGCAGGGGAGACUGGAAUUCCUGGUGUAGCGGUGAAAUGCGCAGAUAUCAGGAGGAACACCGGUGGCGAAGGCGGGUCUCUGGGACGUUACUGACGCUGAGACGCGAAAGCGUGGGGAGCAAACAGG